GAUGAACGCUGGCGGCGUGCCUAAUACAUGCAAGUCGAGCGAACGGACGAGAAGCUUGCUUCUCUGAUGUUAGCGGCGGACGGGUGGGUAACACGUGGAUAACCUACCUAUAAGACUGGGAUAACUUCGGGAAACCGGAGCUAAUACCGGAUAAUAUUUUGAACCGCAUGGUUCAAAAGUGAAAGACGGUCUUGCUGUCACUUAUAGAUGGAUCCGCGCUGCAUUAGCUAGUUGGUAAGGUAACGGCUUACCAAGGCAACGAUGCAUAGCCGACCUGAGAGGGUGAUCGGCCACACUGGAACUGAGACACGGUCCAGACUCCUACGGGAGGCAGCAGUAGGGAAUCUUCCGCAAUGGGCGAAAGCCUGACGGAGCAACGCCGCGUGAGUGAUGAAGGUCUUCGGAUCGUAAAACUCUGUUAUUAGGGAAGAACAUAUGUGUAAGUAACUGUGCACAUCUUGACGGUACCGAAUCAGAAAGCCACGGCUAACUACGU
rnacentral:rRNA from 1 species